CAUGUCCUGGAACUAGCUCUUAUAGACCAGGCUGGCCUUGAACUCGCAGAGAGAUCACCCGCCUCUGCCUCGCAAGUCCUGGGAUUAUACCUCUUCUGCAGCACAGAUAUCUCUUUCACGUGCAGAUUUCACUGGACUGUUCUCUAUCCUAAGUGACAGAAAGGUUAAGAAGCAAAUAUGUUAAAUCCAAGUACACAUAAGAAAUUUUAAACUUUUUAUUUUUAACAUUUUAUGGUGAACUAAAGCAAAGUCACAAACAUUAACUGAUCAAUACCAUAAUUCUAGAAUGGAAAUUAACAAUAAACCCACAAUUUGUUAUAUCACAAGCCUGAACAAUAGGCCAAACAGUUUAUGAUUAACAUAAGCCUCUGUGUGUUUAUUUGGGACUGAAAGGCUAUGGAUCAGGUGGGAGAGAAACUUCGGUCUACAUUGAGGACCAUGGAGUUUACUCACUCAUUGUAGUGACACAGGCAUUGCCAGUCCUGGGAUGUUAACUUCCUGUGUCGUGGAGGUCUCUUGAACUUUUGCAUCUGAUGGCAUGGUUUCUCUCUCAAUACACUGCUCUUUUUCUCUGUGGGAAACGUUAUUUUUCUAAAGCCGGACUGUAUUAACCAUGUGAAAUUAGUGUUCUUUCUCUUUAAGCUGCUGUCAAAUUAUGAACAGAAUGGCCCAGUGUUCUUCUUUUAGAACCAAAGAUUUGGGCGCUAUUUGUAUCUCCAGUAUGUGGGUCACUUUGGUAAAGAACAAAAGCAACUGAUUGAUCAGUAUGUGGAGCAAGAUGCAGGGGCCGUGGGGUGACAUCUUUGGAAAUUGUCAGCUUCAGAAUGAAUGCCAGACACCGACCUCCAUGGGUUGUGAGAACAGAUGCGUGCGCACACACAUGCGCAGAUGCACACAAACACACAGGCAUACACAGAUAUGGAAACUAGUGACAUACAUACAGGAGCUGAAAGCCGCGCCAUUGUGGGAACAAUGCUCCUGAAGAUUAUGUCUGUGUUAUCUUAGGAGCUGCAGGAGAUGCACAGCCAGGCCCCUAUAUGGUGAACCAGGAUCUUUCAGGUAGUCCUCUGGCUCUCUUACUAACCAGCUGUGAUUUCCAGUUUUAGUGACAAGUGUCUAGUGCCCAAACUGUGCCGCCUACAUUUACUGACUUCGUAAUUUUGUACUGGCUGCUCAACUUCUCUGUGCUUAGUUUUCCAUGUAUAAAAUAGGACAGCAGUUUUCAUGGUUUUAAUCUAGAAAAGAAUGUGAAAAAGACUUUGAAAAAGAGUACUUUCUUCCUUAAAAAUGUGCUUCCAAUACCUUGGCUCACAAAUGGUGUCAUUUGGUGCUGCUGUCCCCUCUGAGUGUAUAAGGUUUUCUGGCUUUCCUGUCACAUCUGAUUGCUGUAGAUUAAGUGGAGUGGAAAGGCCAAGAAUUCAAUAGCUAUUCAGUCCAUGAAGCUGAAUGUCUAAGCUGGUCUUUAGUAUCUGCUGGAAUCUUGAAGAAGAAGACUCUAAUGCCAGCAAAGGAAUUCCUCAACAUCAGGAUAGAGGAAUUUGUCAAGGAGAGUGAAGGAAACAAUUGAGGGAUCAUUUCAUAAAGUAGUCCUAGGAAUAUUCAUCUCGUCACCAAUAACAGCUUUUGGUCACCUAUGUCAACAGAUAAAACCCCUACAAACAAGCAAGCCUUUUCAUGUUACAGAAUGGAAAGCAGAGAGACCUGUGUCCUUGGGAAUAUAACAGAGUUUCCCUGAACCAUAUCUUUCCUGGAACCUAUACUGUCCCUCGACUUCAGGCACGAGCUACAGAAAGACACUGGUGUUUUGACGGUGCAUGGGAUUUGUCACUGUGAUGUGUGGGCUUCCCUCCAUGACUGAUCUCGGUGGUUGUUGGUCCCUUUCAUCCUGGCUUUGACCACGGACAGCUGUGAGCACAGGCUCCAAGAGGGCAUCUUCCUUCAGACCUCUGUGAUAGACACAAAGAAAACAAUAGCCAAGAAAGCAGACAACUGGUUCCAGCAGUUUCUUUUCCAGCUUCUGGGACAACAGAGCAAGAAAAGGUAGAACCGGAGUAAGAAAAGGAGGCAAGAAAGAAGAGGUGCAUAUACAUGACUGGAACAAGCAUGUCUGAGCGAAAUACCAUCUGUUGCUUCUAUUCUAUGAAUUCAUCAACAUGAAAGCGUGCACGGUAUUGUGGUAUAAAAGACGGUUUCUUUCUGUGAGCUGCACUCGAAGUAGUGUGAGUACGGUGUGGUGGCACACACCGUGAGCCUAGUGCUCAGCAGAUCAAGGCAAGACGACCCCAGGUUCCACAGCAGACUGGGAGAGCCUGCAUAGUGAGACCCUGUCUUAAAAAAUAGCCAAAAGUCACUACGAAUAAAAUUGGAAUUCCAUGUCAGUAUCUUUAAAAACCAUCUUUGGGAAAUGGCAGGCAUGUUGGUGCUUGAGAUACUUUGACAGCAAGAUUUUCAGCUGCAGCAUAAACCCGUUGACUCGGAAAACCCAUCUAUCUCUUAGAAAGUAACUCUGAAUGGUACCCAGGAAAAGGCAUGGUUGUUUAGUCGCCUGCCCUUCCUUUGGUUCUUCCCCCUUCCUUUGGGAAUCUUCAAGAGGAGCUGCUUUCUGAUAGUGUGAUUAAUAAAGCAAACUGGAAAGUCAAAGCAGAUGCCCCGAAGCUCGGAUGAAAAAUACUUAUUGUAAAGUCUGUUUAUAUGCACAGAAAGGGCCAUCAGCCUGCUAUGGCCCCAGAGCAGAGCAGCCUGUGCAAAGAGGAAGAGAAACUUCAUCCACUGCUUUGCUCCCCUUUCCUGGAUACUUCAGAUUUUUCUUAAUUGCACUGUUGGGGACUACGGACCACCAGACCCUGGAAUUUCUUGUAAACAACUUGUUUUCCUCUGCUCUAAGCAGCCUGCAGCUGCUCUGAUCACGAGACCCUGAUGGCAGGGGAGUGGGUUCUGACGGGU